GGUCCGGGAUAACCCCGGAAACUGGGAUAAUACCGGAUAACGCAUAUGUGCUGGAAUGCUUUAUGCGUCAAACGGAUUCGUCUGCCCAAGUGGGCUGCGGCCUAUCAGGUAGUAGUGGGUGUAAUGUACCUACUAGCCGACAACGGGUACGGGUUGUGAGAGCAGAGCCCGGAGAUGGAUUCUGAGACAUGAAUCGGCCCUACGGGGCAGCAGGCGCGAAAACUUUACAAUGCGGGAAACCGUGAUAAGGGGACACCGAGUGCCAGCAUCAUAUGCUGGCGUCCGGGUGUGUAAAAUACACCUGUUAGCAAGGGCCGGGCAAGACCGGUGCCACGCCGCGGUAACACCGGCGGCCCGAGUGGUGAUCGUGAUUAUUGGGUCUAAAGGGUCCGUAGCCGGUUUGGUCAGUCCUCCGGGAAAUCUGAUAGCUCAACUAUUAGGCUUUCGGGGUACUGCCAGACUUGGAACCGGGAGAGGUAAGAGGUACUACAGGGGUAGGAGUGAAAUCUUGUAAUCCCUGUGGGACCCCUGUGGCGAAGGCGUCUUACCAGAACGGUUCGACGGUGAGGGACAAAGCUGGGGGCCGAACCGGAUUAGAUACCCGGGUAGUCCCGCCGUAAACGAUGCUCGCUAGGUGUCAGGCAUGGCGCGACCGUGUCUGUGCCGCAGGGAAGCCGUGAAGCGAGCCACCUGGGAAGUACGGCCGCAAGGCUGAAACUUAAAGGAAUUGGCGGGGGAGCACAACAGGUUAAUUGGAACGCCGGACAACUCACCGGGGACGACAGCAAUAUGUAGGCCAGGCUGAAGACCUUGCCUAAUCGCGAGAGGAGGUGCAUGGCCGUCGCCAGUUCGUACUGUGAAGCAUCCUGUUAAGUCAGGAACGAGCGAGACCCGUGCCACUGUUACCAGCAUGU
rnacentral:rRNA from 1 species